rnacentral:rRNA from 1 species
CCUACGGGAGGCAGCAGUGAGGAAUAUUGGUCAAUGGUCGGGAGACUGAACCAGCCAAGCCGCGUGAGGGAUGAAGGUACAGAGUAUCGUAAACCUCUUUUGUCAGGGAACAAAGGCGGGGACGCGUCCCCGGAUGAGUGUAUCUGUAGAAAAAGCAUCGGCAAACUCCGUGCCAGCAGCCGCGGUAAUACGGAGUAUGCGAGGGUUAUCCGGUUUUAUGGGGUUUAAAGGGUGGGCGGGCGGUCUGUUAAGUCAGCGGUCAAAGCCCGGGGCUCAACCCCGGCCCGCCGUUGAAACUGGGAGUCUCGAGUAGGAGAGAAGUAUGCGGAAUGCGUGGUGUAGCGGUGAAAUGCAUAGAUAUCACGCAGAACUCCGAUUGCGAAGGCAGCAUACCGGCGCGCAACUGACGCUCAUGCACGAAAGCGUGGGGAUCGAACAGGAUUAGAUACCCCUGUAGUC